GGGGAGGAAAGAGAAAGUGAAUGAGGGUCAAGAGAGGACAAGAAGAGAAGAAAGAGAAAAGGGGGAGAGAGAGGAGAGCAAAGAGCAGAGUCAGUGUCGACACCAGUGAGGCCGUGAAUGGUGAAUCCAGAGGAAUGAUGAUGACUGACUGAACAUUUUCCCCAUUUUCUCCUGCAACUGUGCAUCGAUCUGGAGCUGAAACUAAAACUAAUGCCGCGUCUCACAGGGUCUCUUCCAUUUUUGUCCUUGAGUUUUUUUUUUGUUGGGAAGUUUGUCUUUGUUGUGUCGGGAACAUGCUGUGCAUUUCUUUAAAGCCCACUGAGACAUUGUAUGUGAUGCUGGGCUUGUGCAAUGGCCGAUGAACUUGACUCAUCUUGACCUGACUCGACCCCAUGUGUUACUGCAGCUGCUGUAAAUGCAAGCAAGCUCAUAGUCAACUUGUCCGGAUCAAUGAUACAUUAAAUCAUACAAUGUGUCCUUGCA